rnacentral:rRNA from 1 species
CAGUCGCCACGGUAAUACGUAGGGUGCAAGCGUUAAUCGGAAUUACUGGGCGUAAAGCGUGCGCAGGCGGUUCGCUAAGACAGAUGUGAAAUCCCCGGGCUUAACCUGGGAACUGCAUUUGUGACUGGCGGGCUAGAGUAUGGCGGAGGGUGGUAGAAUUCCACGUGUAGCAGUGAAAUGCGUAGAGAUGUGGAGGAAUACCGGUGGCGAAGGCAGCCCCCUGGGCCAAUACUGACGCUCAUGCACGAAAGCGUGGGGAGCAAACAGGAUUAGAUACCCGCGUAGUCCCUGUCUCUUAUCA